UACGUAGGGUGCAAGCGUUAAUCGGAAUUACUGGGCGUAAAGCGUGCGCAGGCGGUUAUGUAAGACAGGUGUGAAAUCCCAGGGCUUAACCUUGGAACUGCAUUUGUGACUGCAGAGCUAGAGUGUGUCAGAGGGAGGUGGAAUUCCGCGUGUAGCAGUGAAAUGCGUAGAGAUGCGGAGGAACACCGAUGGCGAAGGCAGCCUCCUGGGAUAACACUGACGCUCAGGCACGAAAGCGUGGGGAGCAAACAGG
rnacentral:rRNA from 1 species